rnacentral:misc_RNA from 1 species
GAUGAAGAACGUAGCGAAAUGCGAUAAGUAGUGUGAAUUGCAGAAUUCAGUGAAUCAUCGAAUCGUUGAACGCACAUUGCGCCCCUUGGUAUUCCAUGGGGCAUGCCUGUUCGAGCGUCAUUUGUACCUUCAAGCUUUGCUUGGUGUUGGGUGUUUGUCCUGAGGGACUCGCCUUAAAGUAAUUGGCAGCCAGUGUUUGGUUUUGAAGCGCAGCACAAGUCGCGAUUCAAAGCUAUACGCCCGCUUCCACAAGCCUUUUUCACUUUUGACCUCGGAUCAGGUAGGGAUACCCGCUGAACUUAAGCAUAUCAAUAAGCGAGGA